AGUGAACGCUGGCGGUAGGCCUAACACAUGCAAGUCGAACGGCAGCACAGUAAGAGCUUGCUCUUACGGGUGGCGAGUGGCGGACGGGUGAGGAAUACAUCGGAAUCUACUUUUUCGUGGGGGAUAACGUAGGGAAACUUACGCUAAUACCGCAUACGACCUACGGGUGAAAGCAGGGGAUCUUCGGACCUUGCGCGAUUGAAUGAGCCGAUGUCGGAUUAGCUAGUUGGCGGGGUAAAGGCCCACCAAGGCGACGAUCCGUAGCUGGUCUGAGAGGAUGAUCAGCCACACUGGAACUGAGACACGGUCCAGACUCCUACGGGAGGCAACAGUGGGGAAUAUUGGACAAAGGGCGCAAGCCUGAUCCAGCCAUACCGCGUGGGUGAAGAAGGCCUUCGGGUUGUAAAGCCCUUUUGUUGGGAAAGAAAAGCAGCAGGUUAAUACCCCGCUGUUCUGACGGUGCCCAAAGAAUAAGCACCGGCUAACUUCGUG
rnacentral:rRNA from 1 species